rnacentral:tRNA from 1 species
AGAGACUUAGGAUAAAAUAAACCUUGAACCUUCAAAGCUCAAAACAGAAGUUAAACCCUUCUAGUCUCUG